UACAGAGGUCUCAAGCGUUGUUCGGAUUCAUUGGGCGUAAAGGGUGCGUAGGCGGCGCGGUAAGUCGGAUGUGAAAUCUCGGAGCUUAACUCCGAAACUGCAUUCGAUACUGCCGUGCUUGAGGACUGGAGAGGAGACUGGAAUUUACGGUGUAGCGGUGAAAUGCGUAGAUAUCGUAAGGAAGACCAGUGGCGAAGGCGGGUCUCUGGACAGUUCCUGACGCUGAGGCACGAAGGUCAGGGGAGCAAACGGGG
rnacentral:rRNA from 1 species